CCUCACCUGAAUGUGUGACUCUUCAACCUCAGGACUUGCAGAACUAAGAGAGUGCCGUCCUAAGGUUGUUGAGUUGUGCAUUUCAGGGC
rnacentral:pre_miRNA from 14 species